ensembl:snoRNA
AUCCUUUUAUAGUUCCUAAGUGUGAUGACUGAGCGUUCAUGCACAUGUGUGAGAUAUGAUUCUCUCAAACUUUGUUAUGGUGUUGGCACAUUACCCAUCUGAUG